GAUGAACGCUGGCGGCGUGCCUAAUACAUGCAAGUCGAGCGAACAGACCAGGAGCUUGCUUCUCGGACGUUAGCGGCGGACGGGUGAGUAACACGUGGAUAACCUACCUAUAAGACUGGUAUAACUUCGGGAAACCGGAGCUAAUACCGUAUAAGAUAUGAAACCGCAUUGUGCAAUAGUGAAAGACGGUUUUGCUGUCACUUAUAGAUGGAUCCGCGCCGCAUUAGCUAGUUGGUAAGGUAACGGCUUACCAAGGCAACGAUGCGUAGCCGAACUGAGAGGGUGAUCGGCCACACUGGAACUGAGACACGGUCCAGGCUCCUACGGGAGGCAGCAGUAGGGAAUCUUCCGCAAUGGGCGAAAGUUUGACGGAGCAACGCCGAGUGAGUGAUGAAGGUCUUCGGUGCGUAAAGAUCUGUUAUUAGGGAAGAACAAAUGUGUAAGGGACUAUGGCCGUAUUGACGGUACCUAAUGAGAAAGCCACGGCUAACUACGUG
rnacentral:rRNA from 1 species